rnacentral:rRNA from 1 species
CCCUUAGAUGUCCUGGGCUGCACGCGCGCUACACUGAUGUGUCCAGUAAGCACCUAACCUCUUCCGAAAGGAACGGGUAACCUUUGCAAAGCACAUCGUGAUGGGGAUAGAUUAUUGCAAUCAUUAGUCUUGAACGAGGAAUUCCUAGUAAGCACAAGUCAUCAGCUUGUGUUGAUUACGUCCCUGCCCUUUGUACACACCGCCCGUCGCUCCUACCGAUUGAAUGUUCCGGUGAGCUCUUCGGACUGCGCGGUCUGCAGUUUCUGCGUUCCGUGCGGAAAGUUGCGCAAACCUUAACAUUUAGAGGAAGGAGAAGUCGUAACA